rnacentral:lncRNA from 1 species
AUUGUUUUGGCCUUGUGCAUAGAACAGCCUGUCAAUCUGCAACCACGAAACUCCUGUAUGAGACCUAGUGAUUGCAUCACAUGUCAAGAGGAAAACUGAAUAGUAAAUAUAAUCCAGCAAGCAGGGUAGUGUCACUUGCAGAGGAGCAACUCCUUUCUUCCCCAGUCUCCUAUGAGUCUGGGAUGCUGGCUAAGCAUCUAGCUAUAAAAGUGAAUCACUCCUAUAGAGGAUUUCUCUAAAAUUUCUAGCACAUCUUAAAAUGGAAAAUUUAUUUUUGUAUCUAAGAUGUUAAGAAAGCUUCUGACAAGCACAGUGUCUUAUUUUUAUGAUAGAAAAAUACUUUUAUUCAAGCAUUUUCUUAAACACUUCAGCUUUUCCAAAUUUCACUUUCUAUUUUUCUUACUUUAACAGCCUCAAAUCUUAUUCCUGGUUUUCUUCACAAGGAUGGAGUACUGUAGAAUGGCAGAGCAGAAGGAAAGCACAUCUUCUAACCACUCUGAUUAUCCCCUGCUGCUGCUUGGCAUCCACACAUGCUACAAGAGGAAAAGCCAGACCUGGAAACAAUCUGCUGAGAGUUUCAGAUUCUCUCUGUUCCUUCUCUUCCAGUCCAUUAGGCCAGAAAGGGAAUGGCAGUCAACAAGUUUUUCAUCUGUCGUCUUCGUACAGCUUCCAGUGCUGGUGUGAAAUUGUGCCACUUUGUGCACUCAUAGCUGAGCAGAGACAGAGCCUGUGGAAACCAACAGACAUCAGUCAGAAAGCCAACCCCACAGAGCACCUCUGCUGCCUUGGACUGCUGUGGCCAAAUAUUUGCUGGGUGGACUUGGUUUCAACUCCCCAGAAUAGGAAGGGAAAAAAAAAGGCAACAGAUAGGUAAGAAGGGCUCCAUUUCUUUGCUGAUCCUCUUCAUCCCUUCAGUUUCAACAGGAGCAG